rnacentral:tRNA from 1 species
AGAAUUUAGUUUAGUAUAAAAUAUUAGAUUGUAAAUCUAAAGUGGGAGGUUCUUGA